rnacentral:rRNA from 1 species
UAGGGAAUAUUGCAAAAUGGGCGAAAGCCCGAUGCAGCAACGCCGCGUGGGCGAUGAAGGCCUUCGGGUCGUAAAGCCCUUUUUGAGGGGAUGAGGAAGGACAGUACCCUCAGAAUAAGCCUCGGCUAACUACGUGCCAGCAGCCGCGGUAAAACGUAGGAGGCGAGCGUUAUCCGGAUUUACUGGGCGUAAAGCGCGUGCAGGCGGAUUGGAGAGUUGGAUGUGAAAGCUCCCGGCUUAACUGGGAGAGUUCGUUCAAUACUUCCAGUCUUGAGUGCAGUAGAGGGAAGUGGAAUUCCGGGUGUAGUGGUGAAAUGCGUAGAUAUCCGGAGGAACACCAGUGGCGAAAGCGGCUUCCUGGACUGUAACUGACGCUCAGACGCGAAAGCUAGGGUAGCAAACG